AACGAACGCUGGCGGCAUGCCUAACACAUGCAAGUCGAACGAGACCGUCGGGCCUAUGGGCGCAGGGGUGCGUAACGCGGGGGAACCUGCCCGUAGGUUCGGAAUAACUCCCCGUAAGGGAUGCUAAUACCGGAGAGGGUCUUCGGACCAAAGAUUUCUCGCUUCUGGGUGGGGCCGCGUUGGAUUAGCUAGUUGGUAGGGUAAAAGCCUACCAAGGCGACGAUCCAUAGCUGGUCUGAGAGGAUGCUCCGCCACACUGGGACUGAGACCCGGCCCAGACUCCUACGGGAGGGAGCAGUGGGGAGUAUUGGACAAUGGGCGAAGGCCUGAUACAGCAAUGCCGCGUGAGUGAUGCAGGGCUUAGGGUUGUAAAGCUCUUUUACCCGGGAUGAUAAUGACAGUACCGGGAGAAUAAGCUCCGGCUAACUCCGUG
rnacentral:rRNA from 1 species